UACGUAGGGUGCAAGCGUUAAUCGGAAUUACUGGGCGUAAAGCGUGCGCAGGCGGUUGUGCAAGACAGAUGUGAAAUCCCCGGGCUUAACCUGGGAAUUGCAUUUGUGACUGCACGGCUAGAGUGUGUCAGAGGGGGGUAGAAUUCCACGUGUAGCAGUGAAAUGCGUAGAUAUGAUGGAGGAAUACCGAGUGGCGAAGGCAGCCCCCGUGGGAUAACACUGACGCU
rnacentral:rRNA from 1 species